AAAACACUAACGAACGCUGGCGGCAGGCCUAACACAUGCAAGUCGAACGCCCCGCAAGGGGAGUGGCAGACGGGUGAGUAACACGUGGGAACCUUCCCUAUAGUACGGAAUAGCCCAGGGAAACUUGGAGUAAUACCGUAUACGCCCGAGAGGGGAAAGAAUUUCGCUAUAGGAUGGGCCCGCGUAGGAUUAGCUAGUUGGUGAGGUAAUGGCUCACCAAGGCGACGAUCCUUAGCUGGUUUGAGAGAACGACCAGCCACACUGGGACUGAGACACGGCCCAG
rnacentral:rRNA from 1 species